UACGAAGGGGGCUAGCGUUGCUCGGAAUCACGGGGCGUAAAGCGCACGUAGGCGGCUUCUUAAGUCAGGGGUGAAAUCCUGGAGCUCAACUCCAGAACUGCCUUUGAUACUGAGGAGCUUGAGUCCGGGAGAGGUGAGUGGAACUGCGAGUGUAGAGGUGAAAUUCGUAGAUAUUCGCAAGAACACCAGUGGCGAAGGCGGCUCACUGGCCCGGUACUGACGCUGAGGUGCGAAAGCGUGGGGAGCAAACAGG
rnacentral:rRNA from 1 species